rnacentral:rRNA from 1 species
ACCAUGGGCGGUGCUCACGCUUGCAGUCGAACGAUGAAGCCCAGCUUGCUGGGUGGAUUAGUGGCGAACGGGUGAGUAACACGUGAGUAACCUGGCCUUGACUCUGGGAUAAGCCUGGUAAACUGGGGGUAAUACUGGAUAUGACUUCUCACCGCAUGGUGGGGGGUGGAAAGAUUUAUUGGUCUUGGAUGGACUCGCGGCCUAUCAGCUUGUUGGUGAGGUAAUGGCUCACCAAGGCGACGACGGGUAGCCGGCCUGAGAGGGUGACCGGCCACACUGGGACUGAGACACGGCCCAGACUCCUACGGGAGGCAGCAGUGGGGAAUAUUGCACAAUGGGCGCAAGCCUGAUGCAGCGACGCCGCGUGAGGGAUGACGGCCUUCGGGUUGUAAACCUCUUUCAGUAGGGAAGAAGCGAAAGUGACGGUACCUGCAGAAGAAGCGCCGGCUAACUACGUGCCAGCAGCCGCGGUAAUACGUAGGGCGCGAGCGUUAUCCGGAAUUAUUGGGCGUAAAGAGCUCGUAGGCGGUUUGUCGCGUCUGCCGUGAAAGUCCGGGGCUUAACCCCGGAUCUGCGGUGGGUACGGGCAGACUAGAGUGCAGUAGGGGAGACUGGAAUUCCUGGUGUAGCGGUGAAAUGCGCAGAUAUCAGGAGGAACACCGAUGGCGAAGGCAGGUCUCUGGGCUGUAACUGACGCUGAGGAGCGAAAGCAUGGGGAGCGAACAGGAUUAGAUACCCUGGUAGUCCAUGCCGUAAACGUUGGGCACUAGGUGUGGGGGACAUUCCACGUUUUCCGCGCCGUAGCUAACGCAUUAAGUGCCCCGCCUGGGGAGUACGGCCGCAAGGCUAAAACUCAAAGGAAUUGACGGGGGCCCGCACAAGCGGCGGAGCAUGCGGAUUAAUUCGAUGCAACGCGAAGAACCUUACCAAGGCUUGACAUGUUCCUGACCGCCGUAGAGAUACGGGUUUCCCCUUUGGGGCAGGUUCACAGGUGGUGCAUGGUGUCGUCAGCUCGUGUCGUGAGAUGUUGGGUUAAGUCCCGCAACGGAGCGCAACCCUCGUUUCAUGUUGCCAGCCACC